AACGAACGCUGGCGGCAGGCUUAACACAUGCAAGUCGAGCGCCCCGCAAGGGGAGCGGCAGACGGGUGGGUAAAGCGGGGGAACGUACCUUUUGGUUCGGAACAACGCCGGGAAACUGGAGCUAAUACCGGAGAAGCCCUAACGGGGAAAGGUUUAUCGCCGAAAGUUCGGCCCGCGGCUGAUUAGCUAGUUGGUGAGGUAACGGCGCACCAAGGGGACGAUCAGUAGAUGGUCUGAGAGGAGGAGCAGCCACACUGGGACUGAGACACGGCCCAGACUCCUACGGGAGGCAGCAGUGGGUGAUCUUGCACUACGGGCGCAAGCCUGAUCCAGCCCUGCCGCGUGAGUGAUGAAGGCCUUAGGGUUGUAACGCUCUUUUGUCCGGGAAGAUAAUGACUGUACCGGAAGAAUAAGCCCCGGCUAACUUCGUG
rnacentral:rRNA from 1 species